GAUGAAGAACGUAGCGAAAUGCGAUAAGUAAUGUGAAUUGCAGAAUUCAGUGAAUCAUCGAAUCUUUGAACGCACCUUGCGCUCCUUGGUAUUCCGAGGAGCAUGCCUGUUUGAGUGUCAUGAAAUUCUCAACCUUUCUGGCUUUUGCUAGUCAGGCUUGGAUUAUGGGAGUUGCUGGCUUUUGAAGUCGGCUCUUCUGAAAUGCAUUAGCAAGAUCAUUGCUGCUCAUCAUUGGUAAUGAUAAUUAUCUAUAUCAUUGAGAGUCGGUUUCCUUCAUUGGAGGAUUUUGCUCCUAACGGUCUUUUACUAAGACAGCAUUUGACAAUUUUGACCUCAAAUCAGGUAGGACUACCCGCUGAACUUAAGCAUAUCAAUAAGCGGAGGA
rnacentral:misc_RNA from 1 species